rnacentral:rRNA from 1 species
UACGUAGGGUCCGAGCGUUGUCCGGAAUUACUGGGCGUAAAGAGCUCGUAGGCGGUCUGUCGCGUCUGCUGUGAAACUCAGGGCUUAACCCUGAGCUUGCAGUGGGUACGGGCAGACUAGAGUGCGGUAGGGGAGACUGGAAUUCCUGGUGUAGCGGUGAAAUGCGCAGAUAUCAGGAGGAACACCGGUGGCGAAGGCGGGUCUCUGGGCCGAUACUGACGCUGGAGGAGCGAAAGCGUGGGAGCGAACAGG